rnacentral:lncRNA from 1 species
UUGGAGUUGAUCUUGGAGAUUAAAGAUUUCAAUUUUUGGGCUGUUCAAAUUGAAGAAAAAUUUUAGAAAGGUAGGGAUGAAGAUGAUGCUCAAUCUUGAAAACAAAAGAAGGAAAAAUCAAGAGUGAAUGGUGGUGAUAGGUGCGACGACAACAAUGGUGGGAGAAUGAGAAAUGAAAGAAAAAAAUAUCAAGAAAAGAAGAGGAGGUUAGGGACGGCUAAGGUAGGAGAAAAGAGAGUUAGAGACUGAUUAUUUGAUUAAGAAUUGUAUUUAUACCUAGG